rnacentral:rRNA from 1 species
CAAUAGCGUAUAUUAAAGUUGUUGCAGUUAGAACGCUCGUAGUCGGAUUUCGGGGCGGGCCGACCGGCCUGCCGAUGGGUAUGCACUGGUCGGCGCGUCCUUCCUUCCGGAGACCGUCCCUACUCUUAACUGAGCGGGGGCGGGAGACGGGACUUUUACUUUGAAAAAAUCAGAGUGUUUCAAGCAGGCAGCUCGCUCUUGCAUGGAUUAGCAUGGGAUAAUGAAAUAGGACUUUGGUGCUAUUUUGUUGGUUUCGAACACCGAAGUAAUGAUGAGAAGGGACAGUCAGGGGCACUCGUAUUCCGCCGAGAGAGGUGAAAUUCUCAGACCAGCGGAAGACGAACCACUGCGAAAGCAUUUGCCAGGGAUGUUUUCACUGA